CCAGCUUUCAGGGCUUUGAUCCUCCUCAUUUGUGGAUUUCGGUUUCCCCCUUUCCCCCUUUCAGCUAAGGAGCUUCACGGAAACACUCCUUGCUGGGGGUAGAUGGGUCAUAACUCCCAAGGAUGCUACUGCAGCAUAAGAGGCCAAUUUGUGGGUGUAUUUUUCGGAGCAGCCUGGUUCAGAAAAAGCAUCGGUCCUCCUCUCUGAACUGGGACGGUUCAAGGAGGGGCUUCCCCAAGUCACAGGUUUUCCCAGGCGCAACGGAGCUCCUCUGUUUGCAAGGCCAAAACUCUUCCCUGUGCAAAAGAAUGGAGCAGACAUGAUGUCUUUAGUGCUGCAACAAGCUUUGUGCAGGAGGGAGCAGAGAGGGAAGGACGGCUAUCUUUUUGCACAAAUGCUAUCAUAGGAGACAAAGCAGGAUAAAGUUGCCCAAGCAACACGACCCCUGAAGAGUAUGCCAUCGGGGUGAGGUCAUUUUUAGGCCUUGUAGCAUCCACUCAACAACUGCAAGACAGGCUGGUGUUAUAUUGGUACGAGAAAGCCUAGCACCCUCUUCCUAAAUGAAUCGCAAUUUUAACGGAUAUUUUUUUUCCAGAUCUCUGCUGCGUACCUUCGGAAACUACUGCUGUCAAAUCACAUCUGUGUCUCUUUGUGGAUAUGCUCUUGAUCUGAUGGUGUCAAAUUUCCCCAUAGGGAGACCCUGGCCUUCAGAUCCCCACACCCAGACUGAGUUCUUUUCUUGCCACAACAAGAAUCCUGCAACUUUUUGUCACAGAAGAAGAACAGAAAGAGAUAGCCCUCGGAAGACCAGGAAGUGACCUCUCCAGACAACGGAAUGACUCCUUCUAUUCUUACAUCUGCGGCUGCGAUCUCCUGGGUGACAUGGAUGCUUGAAUGCACAUGCGUACUCCAUCUGUUUCCCUCCCUAGCACCCCUCUGCAUGGCCUCGGGUGCUGGCAACGCACAAUAUGCCACUGUGCCUUAUAAAUUCCUUGGUAGUUCAUAUACUCCUUUCAUCCUUCCUUCCAACUGAAGAUAUAUGAGCAAUUAUACUUCCAAUUAAAUUAAAUCCCAAGUCCUCUUAGCGUUAUUCACUUCACUUCGUAAAUAAUAAAGGAUGGGGAAGAGUCAGCUCUAAGUUUCUAUUGUGAACCUUUACAAAUAUAAUUUGGACUAACCUUCAGAGGAGGAUUGCCAAAUCAUAAAUGUAGAGAAGAAAACUUUAGAUAAAGAAACCGUAGGCUCCCCUCCCCCCACCUUCUUUUGCACUGAAUUAAAUCUUAAGUUCUUGCAGUUGGUUUGUUCGACAGUUUGUGAUCUCACCUCUUCUAGCACGUGCCUGUACUUUAGUCCAAUUAAGCUCUAAUUAACAGGAGAACCUCUGCUGCUUAAUGGCAGCAUGGGAGGGUUUUAGACAGGCGAUGUGCUUUUGCAUGCCGGAGCGAGAGCGAGGUACUGAGAUGAACUGCAAGUGAAGCCCAUUCCCCCACCCCACCCGUCCCUGGGAGGAAUUUGCAAGGAUAAUUACCCUCCAUCAUCCUUGUUUUUCCUCCGCCAAUGAUCUGCUGCCGUGGGAGCUGCCUCCAUUAAGGCAGAGCGGAACCGGAAGCCUCAGCCCCACUAUAAAGUACAGCUGUGCUGUGAGUGCCUCCCUUGCCACACUUUGUCAUAUGUCAUAUGUCUGACCCAUAUUACUCCCCUCACAACAGCAGGAAAGGAGUGCUAUCCCUCCCACACAGGAGAGACAUCCAUCCUCCCCCCAUGCUGGUAAGCUCCAGUCCAUUCCCAGUAACUGGGGUACCAAACAGAGCAUCUCACACAGGUGGAAAAGAGGGGAGGCAUGACACUUCCUGCAACAUAUAACCCCUAUUGCCAUCUUGCAUGCUUCAUCCAUGCACCACUUUCUUUACCAAAUGUGGAAAACUUGUUUUCUUCUUCUUCCACUCUAUCGCUCUAACACUCUUCUUCCUGC
ensembl:lncRNA